CCUACGGGAGGCAGCAGUGGGGAAUUUUGGACAAUGGGCGAAAGCCUGAUCCAGCAAUGCCGCGUGUGUGAUGAAGGCCUUCGGGUUGUAAAGCACUUUUGGCGGGAACGAAAAGGACUGUGCCAAUACCACGGUUCGAUGACGGUACCCGCAGAAUAAGCACCGGCUAACUACGUGCCAGCAGCCGCGGUAAUACGUAGGGUGCAAGCGUUAAUCGGAAUUACUGGGCGUAAAGAGUGCGCAGGCGGUUUUGCAAGACCGAUGUGAAAUCCCCGGGCUUAACCUGGGAACUGCAUUGGUGACUGCAAGGCUAGAGUGUGUCAGAGGGAGGUGGAAUUCCGCAUGUAGCAGUGAAAUGCGUAGAUAUGCGGAGGAACACCGAUGGCGAAGGCAGCCUCCUGGGAUAACACUGACGCUCAUGCACGAAAGCGUGGGGAGCA
rnacentral:rRNA from 1 species